GAUCGUCUGAUCGUCCAUAACCAUGGUUACUAGCUAGUCUUCUUCAAACCUGUGAUGAAAAUCAUAUGAAAUAAUACUGAAAUAAUAAGGAGAGAGUUGUAUUAAUUUCCAUGCAAUAUCAAUUGUGUUAAUUAAACAGUGUACCCAGUUUGUUUCCUUUUGUGUAUUCUUAAGGAAUCUAUAAACAAAGAAUAAUUGCCUUUUCUUUUCCUCUUAAUAUUGUUGUUGUGAUCUGUUCAACUAGAACUGUGGUUCGGGUUUUUUAAGUACACCAAACAUAUAUAUGAAUGUAGAUAUAUAGGCCUUCAACUAGUCUUAUCAAACAGAUAUUAAUCAACUUGUAACGAGUAAAAUGACCAAACAGAUAAAGAUAAUCUGGACUCUGGAAGUCCGGAGCAGUACAAAACUGAAACGAAAAUUAAUUACCAAAUUAUACCUUGUUUAACAAACUACAUCGUGCAAAUACAGCAACCACAGAAAAGAAACCUACUUUGGGAAGAACCAUUGGUAGAGGUGACCACCGGUACUUCUUCUCUGUCUUGGCUUUAGACUUUCCCUGGUGUCAGUCAAGUUCCGUACGUAUGCAAAUGACCCAAGAAACAGUUCCUUUGCGCAAGUAGAAACCGAUGAUAAACCAAGUUCCAUUACAAAACAUGACUCUGUGACAUCGUGAACGUCCAACCGGCGCUGUGGAUCAGUUGUGCACUGCCACACCAUACCGUUCAAUGAUUCUUGUAGCUUCUGCUUUUGUAGCCAUCAACGUUUUGCUGUUCAUUUUGCUGCAAAUUCUUCUACAUCCUCCGUUAUGUUGAUUGAGCGCAAUGUCAGCUUGAAGAUCGAGCAUUAUCCUUGGCGACCUGCUAUAAUUGGUUAAACUUCU
rnacentral:lncRNA from 1 species